rnacentral:rRNA from 1 species
GUAGGUGGCAAGCGUUGUCCGGAAUUAUUGGGGCGUAAAGCGCGCGCAGGUGGUUCUUUAAGUCUGAUGUGAAAGCCCCCCGGGCUCAACCGGGGGAGGGUCAUUGGAAACUGGGGAACUUGAGUGCAGGAGAGGAAAGUGGAAUUCCACGUGUAGCGGUGAAAUGCGUAGAUAUGUGGAGGAACACCAGUGGCGAAGGCGACUUUCUGGCCUGCAACUGACACUGAGGCGCGAAAGCGUGGGGAGCAAACAGGAUUAGAUACCCUGGUAGUCCACGCCGUAAACGAUGAGUGCUAAGUGUUGGGGGGUUUCCGCCCCUCAGUGCUGCAGCUAACGCAUUAAGCACUCCGCCUGGGGAGUACGGUCGCAAAGACUG